GGGCUCGUAGCUCAGUUGGUUAGAGCGCCAGCUCGACACGCUGGAGGUCGGAGGUUCGAAUCCCCCCGGGCCCACCA
rnacentral:tRNA from 1 species